rnacentral:rRNA from 1 species
UACGUAGGGGGCAAGCGUUGUCCGGAAUUAUUGGGCGUAAAGCGCGCGCAGGCGGCCCGUUAAGUCUGAUGUGAAAGCCCACGGCUCAACCGUGGAGGGUCAUUGGAAACUGGGGGACUUGAGUGCAGAAGAGGAAAGCGGAAUUCCACGUGUAGCGGUGAAAUGCGUAGAGAUGUGGAGGAACACCAGUGGCGAAGGCGGCUUUCUGGUCUGUAACUGACGCUGAGGCGCGAAAGCGUGGGGAGCAAACAGG